rnacentral:lncRNA from 1 species
GGGUCCCUGCCAGUCAUGCUUCAGUGAUUCCCUAUAUAAUCUCCCAUUUUCCAAGAUUAGUGUGUGGGGGGGGGGGGGGGGGGGGCUGGAAAAAAACCUAAAUCCGCCUCUGCUAAUUGGGAAGUCAUUUUGUCUGAUACACACAUAUAAAUACCUAUUACAUGUAUGUGCAAAAUGCUUCAAAUAUAUGCAUAUAUAAUAAUGGUGCGUCUAAAAACCGUUA